UUUAUUAUGUUCUGUUGUAUAAUACUAUGCAAUGUCCUUUAUGGUAAUUUUGUCAUACAAAAGUACUUUCUCAGUUUGUUUACCAAACACAAAAUAAAGUACCACAGCACUUUACGAAUGUAGUUACCAAACAGCAAACAGCUUUUUAUAACAGCUCUACUUCAGACAGCUCUACUUCCAACAGCUCUACUUCUAACAGCUCUACUGCCAACAGCUCCCCCAAAC
rnacentral:lncRNA from 1 species